GGACCCGUACCUCAACAUGAUAGAGCACCAGAUUUCUAAUCUGGGGGUUGGGCGUUCGAUCCGCCCCGGGUCCG
rnacentral:tRNA from 1 species